AACGAACGCUGGCGGCGUGCCUAACACAUGCAAGUCGAACGAGAAAGCGGCUUCUUCUCCGAGUAAUGUGGCGCACGGGUGAGUAACACGUGGGUAACCUUCCUCUAAGAUUGGUAUAACUCGCCGAAAGAUGUGCGUAUACCGCUUAAGAUCACAUUUCCCUCGGGAACAGGGGUCAAAUAGAGCCUCUGCUUGCAAUCUAUCACUUAGAGAUGAGCCUGUUCACCAUUAGCUAGUUGGUAGGGUAACGGCCUACCAAGGCAAAGAUGGUGAGCUGGUCUGAGAGGAUGAUAAGCCAGACUGGAACUGAGACACGGUACAGACUCCUACGGGAGGCAGCAGGGGGGAGUAUUGCGCAAUGGGCGAAAGCUUGACGAAGCAACGCCGCGUGAGUGAUGAAGGCCGUCGGGUCGUAAAGCUCUGUCGGGAGGAACGAAUGCUCCUGAGGUUAACAGGCUCGGGAGGUGACGGUACCUGCAAAGGAAGCACCGGCUAACUCUGUG
rnacentral:rRNA from 1 species